CUUCCGGUUCACAGGCCAGCCUGCGGGCAAGUUUGGGAGAGAGGGCAGGGCGAGAGGAGCUCACUGAGGACUUCUCGGUUUAAAAGACAACAUCUCACAAUUUAACCCAGACAGGCCUGCAGUGCACUCAGUAGUAAUGCUGGCUUCUAACAAGGCCUUUGGAGGUGUGUAGUCUGUUCCACUAACACACAUUUCCCACCGUUCACCUGCAGAAGAUGUUCCUCAGAUUCCACACCCCGCUGACUCUAGGGAGAUUUGACCUGUGGUUUGCAGAGCCGCCAGGAGAUUAUGAAAAAAGGGCAAGAGGAAGCCAUCUUUGGUGACAACUUAUGAAGGUCCCUGAAGAAAACAUACUUGUGAGGAUAACAUAUAAUGGCAGCCAGAGGACUGUGGACAUCCUACUUCAUUGCUUCAAAAUGCAAAGACAUUCAUUUGUGUUCGUGCUUACGGUAAUAAAAAUGUGAUACAU